UGUAUAUAGAAAAAGAAACUGGAAUGGCUAUUGCCAAAAGACAAGAAAACUAGAGACCCUUGAAACUAGACUGGAAGCAAGAAAGGAGUUGACAAGAGUGAAGAAGGCUUCACUCUUGUCUCUAUAUAUACUAUCUAACUAGGGACUAUGUGGCGAUGUUCUAUAGGACCUCCAAUAUGUGUUGACUUUGUAGGUGUCAUGGACACAAAAUAUAGACUUGAAAUCUAACAAGAAGUUCAAGAAGAAGUGGCAGAACUAGAUUAAACAAAUGAGUACAAGAACAAUACCAGAAAGGUGAGCUAAAACUCCAAGAGAU
rnacentral:lncRNA from 1 species